GAUGAAGAACGUAGCGAAAUGCGAUAAGUAAUGUGAAUUGCAGAAUUCAGUGAAUCAUCGAACCUUUGAACGCACAUUGCGCCCGCCAGUAUUCUGGCGGGCAUGCCUGUUCGAGCGUCAUUUCAACCAUCAAGCCCCAGGCUUGUGUUGGGGACCUGCGGCUGCCGCAGGCCCUGAAAACCAGUGGCGGGCUCGCUGUCACACCGGGCGUAGUAGAUUUUAUCUCGCUCAGGGCGUGCUGCGGGUUCCGGCCGUUAAAAAGCCUUUUUUACCCAAGGUUGACCUCGGAUCAGGUAGGAAGACCCGCUGAACUUAAGCAUAUCAAUAAGCGGAGGA
rnacentral:misc_RNA from 1 species